rnacentral:piRNA from 1 species
UCCGUGUGUUAAUCCUGUGUU